CAGGAAGUUCUUUGACAGAGAGCAGAAUAGAGUAAAUAUAUGGGAGAGUGUUUCCCUAAAUAUUUUACUAUGUGCAGCUUAUUUCAUCUUGGAAGUUAACAAUAAUUAACAGAAUGCACCAGGUAUAGCAUCAUAUGUGUAUAUAAAGUAUCAGCACACAUGAAUGAGUUGAGACAUGUUUAGUGACCCAAUGUAUUGUGUUCAAAGGCUCCAUCCAACAGUUCAAAGACAUGUCAUAGCAGUGGAGCAAAUGGUGGCAAAUGAUGGCUUUGUGGUGGUUAGUGAAAAACUGUGGCAAUCUACAUUGGUGGUGGCAAACACUGACAGAAAAUUUCUGGACCAGCAGUGACAUUAAGUUGAAAAUAAUGACAUAUUUUACACUGUACUGAAGAUGUAAUUGCGAAAAUUAUUCAAGAAAUAAUAUAUAUCUCAUUCAGUGAUUUGUCGCUGAAUAAAUCAUUGUUUGGAGUUCAGAUGCGAAGGAAUUAUAUCACGAGGGCGCAACAUUACUGAAAGGAUUUUCUUCAAACUUUAACAAGUGAACAAUCUUGACAGGUAGAUACAACUACAAUUACAUUGCAUCCAAAAUCAGUGGCACAGAAACCAGUAGGGGACUAUGUAUUGCCUUGCAAUACUUCAGCACCUUGUUGUUUUAUAUGUGUAACCUGUAAAUGAUUAUUGGUGUGUUUUAUAAAGUUAAGAAGUCCUAGAUGAAAUUUUUAGUUUUUAAUUUUAGCCUCACCUAUGGACAUGCACUGCUUAGGGGAGCUCAUUUGUGAUCAUCCUUUGUCCAAGACCGUGAAUCAAACCUACAACCUGAUGCACACAGCAUUUUCAUUUAGGAUAUAAUCAUAUGGGGUAUAACUUUUUGCUAUUUCAGGGCCCUUAGAACUAGGCUGGAAUAUUUUCCAGGUUAUACCAGGCUCAUUUUCCAGCAUUCCCUGGAAAAUUUACCAUGGUAAAACCUGGAACAUUUUCCAGCCAAAUCCAGGCUAUGCUGGAAAAUGUUCCAGGCUUUUCCAGACUUUGGUUAAAAAACAGUCCGAAUACUCCAGGUUCAUGGAAAAACAGGAAUUUUAUUCCUGGCAGCCUGGAAGAUGUUCCAGAUUUUACCAUGGUAUAUUUUCCAGGGAUGCUGGUAUAUCAUGGUACA